rnacentral:lncRNA from 1 species
AGAAACGUCGGAGACGUAACUCGAUUGUAAUCUCAAACUGCGAUAUCUGUCCAUUAAAUGUAGUUCUUGCUCCCUGGAAAAACAGAGGUAAAUGAACCUAUCUCUAAGAAGAAGAAAAGGUUUUAAGAUCUUUAUUUUGUAUGAAGUUUAGUUUCUUGAUCCUCACAUAAUGUCGACCGGUUUCAUCUAAAAUCCCAGCUGCUGCAGAUGCAUAGUUAACCCCUCUAAAGGCGUUUUGCCCAAUGGAUAAAGGAGAUAAGUAUGGUGGCACCAAUGGCAAGCCGAGGUACGUUGCUACAUUAUAAUGUGAGAAAGUUAGUUAAAAGUUGUGAAACCAAUAUUAUGAUCAUUAGUCUUUUAGCUAUACCUCCAUAAUCAACAACUGUACGGCCAUUGCAGAAACGGCCAGUGGGGAAGCCAAAAUCAAUUCCAUAAGGGAAAUAAUUAGCUCGUGCGAGAGUUGGAAUGUAAUUGUUGUUUCCACUAUCAACU